rnacentral:tRNA from 1 species
GUCUGGCUGGCUCAGUUGGUAGAGCAUGUGACUCUUGAUCUUGGGGUCAUGAGUUCAAGCCCCAUGCUGGGUU